rnacentral:lncRNA from 1 species
GGCGUCCCAAGACCUCAUCUGCCUGCAGCGUCACACCGAUGGCCUGGCCUUGUCUUCUGAUUAUUUGCAACUGCCAUGGAUGUUUACAGGAACCCAGCCAGAGUUUGCCUCCCUGCACUUCAUCCCAGAGCGCACCUGCUUCCCCCACUUCACCUUCGGAGAGGACACUUCAAACUGCGGACACACGCAAAAGUAACUCCCAGCUCUGUUUGAUGUGAGUUGAGCCUUCAGGCCAGCUGGGUUUAGCCCGAGGCUGGUCUUAGAUGCAGCGACUGUUUCAGAGUGACUCAGAAGAAAAAGAAGCUGAGGAAGCUGUUGGGGGGCUGAGGAUGGGAUUCUCGCUUCUUCAUUUCAGGUUACUCGUUCCUCAGCAAGUUGGCAAAACAGAUAUCAUGCUGGCAAUUGAAAAGCUGCAGGCCGGUGCUCUUGCAACUGACGCAGUCACUGCAGCACUGGUGGAACUUGAGGUGUACACACACAGUUAUGCUUCAUGGAGUUGCAUCCAACCAAGUAUCCAUGUUCUUCUUGUGAAGAGGCAGAGAAAAUCACCUCUCCCAAGAAUUUCCACCUUCUGAACAAGGGAAAUGUAUCCUGAAGAGCUGUACGUAGAUGGGAGGCAACUUGUUUGCUUGUUCUGCUGCUGGAGCAUUGAUUUAAUUAGAAGACAGGCUGUGGGUGGCCAUGUGCAGACAAAGAAGCACCAGACAGAGCCCGUUUAGCCUGGGUCAGUAAGAAUCUGCUUGAGAAGAUGGUGCCUGUGUCAGUGCGGCAGUCUUUGGCUGCCUGUGAUCAGAGGAAAGCCGAUUUGUUAACAGAUCAAUUGCUCAGAUGAGAGAAGCCACCACUUUGGCAAAUGGGGUGCUAGCUUCCCUUAAUCUUCCAGCAGCAAUUGAAGAUGUGUCUGGAGACACUGUACCUCAGUCUAUAUUGACUAAAUCCAGAUCUGUGAUUGAACAGGGAGGCAUCCAGACUGUUGAUCAGUUGAUUAAAGAACUGCCUGAAUUGCUGCAAUGAAAUAGAGAAAUCCUAGAUGAGUCAUUAAGGUUGUUGGAUGAAGAAGAAGCAACCGAUAA